rnacentral:rRNA from 1 species
GACGAACGCUGGCGGCGUGCUUAACACAUGCAAGUCGAACGGAAAGGCCCUGCUUUUGUGGGGUGCUCGAGUGGCGAACGGGUGAGUAACACGUGGGUAACCUGCCCUUGACUUUGGGAAAACUUCAGGAAACGGGGGCAAAUACGGGAUGGGACCCCCGCCGCAUGGGGGGGGUUGGAAAGGUUGGGGGGGUGGGGGGGGGACCGGGGGUUUUCCGGUGUUUGGGGGGGGAGUGGUUUACAAGGGGUUUCGGGGGAAGCCGGCCGGGAGGGGGGACCGGCCCCAUUGGGCUGAGGUACCGCCCCAGACCCUUUGGGGGGGAGGAGGUGGGAAAAUUGCCCAAAGGGGGGAAGCCUUAUGCAGGAAAGCCGCGUGCGGGGUGACGGCCUUCGGGUUGUAAACCGCUUUCGCCUGUGACGAAGCGUGAGUGACGGUAAUGGGUAAAGAAGCACCGGCUAACUACGUG